rnacentral:rRNA from 1 species
UACGUAGGGUGCAAGCGUUGUCCGGAAUUACUGGGCGUAAAGAGCUCGUAGGUGGUUUGUCGCGUUGUCCGUGAAAACUCACAACUCAAUUGUGGGCGUGCGGGCGAUACGGGCAGACUGGAGUACUGCAGGGGAGACUGGAAUUCCUGGUGUAGCGGUGGAAUGCGCAGAUAUCAGGAGGAACACCAAUAGCGAAGGCAGCUCGCUGGGACGGUACUGACGCUGAGGCGCGAAAGCGUGGGGAGCGAACAGG